ACACAAGAGAGGAGGUGGUCUGAAGAAUGUAUGUUCAUCGGAUGCGUGAGGUGGCUGCCCGCUAGCAGCUCCACUGCGGGAGAUUCCCCAGCGGUGCGCUGAGCGAAUCCCAGGCAGUCACCCGACCCCCGAGCCCCCGGACGAUCCAACCGGGAUCGCCGCGUUCCCCGGAACGCGACGAUAUGGCUCGGGGGUCGCUCCAU
rnacentral:sRNA from 1 species